UGGGGAAUUUUGGACGAUGGGCGCAAGCCUGAUCCAGCAAUGCCGCGUGCAGGAUGAAGGCCUUCGGGUUGUAAACUGCUUUUGUACGGAACGAAAAAGCUCUCUCUAAUACAGGGGGUGAAUGACGGUACCGUAAGAAUAAGCACCGGCUAACUACGUGCCAGCAGCCGCGGUAAUACGUAGGGUGCAAGCGUUAAUCGGAAUUACUGGGCGUAAAGCGUGCGCAGGCGGUUUUGUAAGACAGAGGUGAAAUCCCCGGGCUCAACCUGGGAACUGCCUUUGUGACGGCAAAGCGGGAGUGCGGCAGAGGGGGAUGGAAUUCCGCGUGUAGCAGUGAAAUGCGUGGAUAUGCGGAGGAACACCGAUGGCGAAGGC
rnacentral:rRNA from 1 species